rnacentral:rRNA from 1 species
ACGUAGGUGGCAAGCGUUGUCCGGAUUUAUUGGGUUUAAAGGGAGCGUAGGUUGACAUAUAAGUCAGCUGUGAAAGUUUACGGCUCAACCGUGAAAUUGCAGUUGAAACUGCUUUUCUUGAGUAUCGGAGAGGUAAUCGGAAUUCCUUGUGUAGCGGUGAAAUGCGUAGAUAUAUGGAGGAACACCAGUGGCGAAGGCGGCUCUCUGGUCUGUAACUGACGCUGAGGCUCGAAAGCGUGGGGAGCAAACA